rnacentral:rRNA from 1 species
UACGUAGGGUGCGAGCGUUAAUCGGAAUUACUGGGCGUAAAGCGUGCGCAGGCGGUUUGUGAUGUCUGAUGUGAAAGCCCCGGGCUCAACCUGGGAACUGCAUUGGAAACUAGCGGGCUGGAGUGUGGCAGAGGGGGGUGGAAUUCCACGUGUAGCAGUGAAAUGCGUAGAGAUGUGGAGGAACACCGAUGGCGAAGGCAGCCCCCUGGGCUAACACUGACGCUGAGACGCGAAAGCGUGGGGAGCAAACAGG